UACGUAGGGUCCGAGCGUUGUCCGGAAUUAUUGGGCGUAAAGAGCUCGUAGGCGGUUCGUCACGUCGGCUGUGAAAUCCCGAGGCUCAACCUCGGGUCUGCAGUCGAUACGGGCGGACUUGAGUACUGCAGGGGAGACUGGAAUUCCUGGUGUAGCGGUGAAAUGCGCAGAUAUCAGGAGGAACACCGGUGGCGAAGGCGGGUCUCUGGGCAGUAACUGACGCUGAGGAGCGAAAGCGUGGGGAGCGAACAGGA
rnacentral:rRNA from 1 species